GGAUGUGAGAGUGAUCUGGCUGUAAUGCCUCACUCCAUUGACUGCAAGGACUGAUUCAGCUGAUCUUGCUGCCUACGCAAGUGUCUCCUUUCUCCUUUGCCUCUCCAUGUGUGUCCCUCCCAAAGCUGUGUAUGCACUCAAAGAGCAAGGCCUCCCUUUAUAAUGGAGGUCAGUUCUUUGAUCAAGAGUAUACAUGGAGGUGUGCUCCGCCUGCUAAAAUCUCCAAUCUCUCAAAGGCACAUUUAUUUGCUAUUUACAGGCUGAGGAAUGAUGACAAGAAGACACCACAAGUCUAUGUUUUCUCGAAUUGAACUUUUAUAUUACU
rnacentral:snRNA from 1 species